GUGUCAGCCGCCGCGGUAACACCAGCGCCACGAGUGGGCAUCACGUUUAUUGGGCCUAAAGCGUUCGUAGCCGGUUUGGUACAUCCCUUGUGAAAUUGUGCGGCUUAACCGCACAGCGUGCAGGGGAGACGGCCAAGCUCGAGACCGGGAGGGGUCAGAAGUAUUCCGUGGGGACCGGUAAAAUGGGAUAAUCCACGGAGGACUACCGAUGGCGAAGGCAUCUGACCAGAACGGAUCUGACGGUGAGGAACGAAAGCCAGGGGAGCGAACCGGAUUAGAUACCCCAGUAGUCC
rnacentral:rRNA from 1 species